CUACGUGCCAGCAGCCGCGGUAAUACGGAGGGUGCGAGCGUUAAUCGGAAUAACUGGGCGUAAAGGGCACGCAGGCGGUGACUUAAGUGAGGUGUGAAAGCCCCGGGCUUAACCUGGGAAUUGCAUUUCAUACUGGGUCGCUAGAGUACUUUAGGGAGGGGUAGAAUUCCACGUGUAGCGGUGAAAUGCGUAGAGAUGUGGAGGAAUACCGAUGGCGAAGGCAGCCUCCUGGGAUAACACUGACGUUCAUGCUCGAAAGCGUGGGUAGCAAACAGGAUUAGAUACCCUGGUAGUCCACGCCCUAAACGAUGUCAAUUAGCUGUUGGGCAACUUGAUUGCUUAGUAGCGUAGCUAACGCGUGAAAUUGACCGCCUGGGGAGUAUGGUCGCAAGAUUAAAACUCAAAGGAAUUGACGGGGACCCGCACAAGCGGUGGAUGAUGUGGAUUAAUUCGAUGCAACGCGAAGAACCUUACCUGGUCUUGACAU
rnacentral:rRNA from 1 species